AUCUCUGGGUUUUGUAAAGCAUAUAAUGAGAUACUCUCUUAAUUCUCUGUCUCUCUUCUUACCAGGUAUUUUGUUGAAGAAAGAAUUUCCUGAUUUUUGAAGCCAUCUAGUAACUGGAGCAUGUACUAAACAGGUUGGACUGCUGUGGUGCAAUCUCAGCUCACUACAACCUCCACCCCCUGGGUUCAAGCAAUUCUCCUUCCUCAGCCUCCCGAGUAGCUGGGAUCACAGGUAUGUGCCACCAUGCUCAGCUAAUUUGAAUUUUUAGUAGAGACAGGGUUUCACCAUGUUGGCCAGGAUGGUCUCCAUCUCUUGACCUCGUGAUCUACCUGCCUCGGCCUCCCAAAGUGCUGGAAUUACAGGCGUGAGCCACUGUG
rnacentral:lncRNA from 1 species